rnacentral:rRNA from 1 species
UACGUAGGGGGCAAGCGUUGUCCGGAUUUAUUGGGCGUAAAGAGCGUGUAGGCGGCUUUACAGGUCCGUUGUGAAAACUCGAGGCUCAACCUCGAGACGCCGGUGGAAACCGUAAAGCUAGAGUCCGGAAGAGGAGAGUGGAAUUCCCGGUGUAGCGGUGAAAUGCGCAGAUAUCGGGAGGAACACCAAUUGCGAAGGCAGCUCGCUGGGACGUCACUGACGCUGAGACGCGAAAGCGUGGGGAGCAAACAGGGAU